CUGAAUUGCCUGUUGACUUAACACCUAGACUAUGUUUACUCUAACAUUUCCCUGACGAUUUAUCUGCACAUAAAAGAAUAAUGUUAGGACACCUCCUUAUCUUGGCUACUUCAAUCAUACCAAUAAAUUGGAAAUCAGUUACCAUUCCCUCUGUCAAAGAUGUUUUACUAGCUUUGUUUGAAAACAAAAGAUGUGAGCUUGCUCUUCGAGUACCAUCUGCAACCAAUGUACUGCUCUGAAUGGGAGAAAGCUAUGAGGAAUAAGUGUAAGCUCGACAAUAUGUCCACCUGACCGAAAAACUUUCCCCCCCCUUUUUUUACUUAUGUUUGACAC